rnacentral:lncRNA from 1 species
AAAAUAGGCCGCGGGCACAGCCGCGGUCAAAAAUAACCGCCCGAAGGCAGGGGCGCCAAGUUCGUCCAGCGGAAAAAGGUCCCAAAAACGGGUGGGCUAUAGCCUUGGGGGGUGGGGCUGGCCAACUUCAUCUGCUGGGCUCGGAAUGGCGCGAAACAUUGCGAGGUGCCUCCGUGCGCCAAAAAUAGGCCGCAGGCACAGCCGUGCCCAAAAAUAACCCCCCGAAGGCCGGGGCGCCACGUUCGUCCAGCGGAAAAAGCCCACAAAAACGGGUGGGCGAUAGCCUUGGGGGGUGGGACUGCCCAACUUCGUCCGCCGGACUCGGAUUGGCGCGAUACUUUGCGAGGCGACUCCGUGUGCCAAAAAUAAGCCGCGGGCACAGCCGCGCCUAAAAAUAACCGCCCGAAGGCCGGGGCGCCAAGUUCGUCCAGCGGAAAAAGGCCACAAAAACGGGUGCGCUAUAGCCUUGGGGGGUGGGGCUGGCCAACUUCGUCCGCCGGACUCAGAUUGGCGCGGUACUUUGCGAGGUGACUCUGUGUGCCAAAAUAGGCCGCGGGCACUGCCGCACCCAAAA